UGCUAGUUUCAACCGCUCUUUUGUAUGUUACAAAGAAGUUUAAAACUCACAUACAAGGCGAGUCUAGACUGGAGG
rfam:Spiroplasma taiwanense CT-1, complete genome.